UACAGAGGGUGCAAGCGUUGCUCGGAAUUAUUGGGCGUAAAGGGUAGGUAGGUGGUCUCAUUUGUCCGGGGUGAAAGCCUUGAGCUUAACUCAAGAAGUGCCCCGGAAGCGGUGAGACUGGAGUCUUGGAGAGGGUCGUGGAAUUCCCGGUGUAGCGGUGAAAUGCGUAGAGAUCGGGAAGAACAUCAGUGGCGAAGGCGGUCUGCUGGGCCGUUGCUGACGCUGAGGCGCGACAGCGUGGGGAGCAAACAGG
rnacentral:rRNA from 1 species